GACGAACGCUGGCGGCAUGCCUAACACAUGCAAGUCGAACGAGACCUUCGGGUCUAGGUGCGCAGGGGUGCGUAAGGCGUGGGGACCUGCCCGUAGGUUCGGAAUAACUCCCCGAAAGGGGUGCUAAGACCGGUUAAGGUAUUCGGGCCAAGGAUUUAUCGCCUUUGGGUGGGCGCGCGUUGGAUUCGCUAGUUGGUAGUGGAAAAGCCUGGCAAGGCGACGAUGCAUAGCUGGUCGGAGAGGAUGAUCAGCUACACUUGGACUGAGACACGGACUAGACUCCGACGGGAAGGAGCAGUGUGGUAUACUGGAGGCGGGGCGAAAGUCCGAUACAGCAACGUCGCGGGAGUGAUGAAGGCCGUAGUGUUGCAAAGCUGUCUGAGACGGGACGAGAAUGACAGUACCGGGAGAAUAAGCACCGGCUAACUCCGUG
rnacentral:rRNA from 1 species